UCAAACCCCUACGCGUAAUGAAAGUGAACGCAGGUGAGAGCUUCGGCGCAUCAUCGACCGAUCCUGAUGUUCUCGGAUGGAUUUGAGUAAGAGCAUAUAGGGUUGGACCCGAAAGAAGGUGAACUAUGCGUGUAUAGGGUGAAGCCAGAGGAAACUCUGGUGGAGGCUCGCAGCGGUUCUGACGUGCAAAUCGAUCGUCAAAUAUGCGC
rnacentral:rRNA from 1 species